rnacentral:tRNA from 1 species
GGAGAGGUAGCGAAGUUGGCCGUAACGCGCCCGACUCGAAAUCGGGUUGCCGCCGAGAGGCGGCACGUGGGUUCGAAUCCCACCCUCUCCGCCA